GGGUGGUGGGAUUUCAGGGAUUUUUCUUUUUCCCUUUUUGUAUUAUUUCUAGCUCGUUAAAUUUGGUAUAUUUGUUUCUAGGACCCCUAUUACCCACCUCUUUACUAAAUUCUUUUUUUUUUUUUUUUUUGAGACAGAGUUUCACUCUGGUGCCCAGGCUGGAGUGCAGUGGCAUGAUUUUGGCUUACCGCAACCUCUGCCUUCCGGGUUCAGACCCUGCAUUUGUUGGAUCAGCUGGCACCACCCAGAUCAAUAAACUGGCUCAUCUCACCUUGUGGCCCCCACCCAGGAACUGACUCAGUACAAGUGGACAGCUUUGACUCCCUAUGAUUUCACCUCUCUCCAAUCAGCACUCAUGGCUCACUGGCUUCCCCCUACCCAGCAAAUUAUCCUUAAAACUCUGCUCCCCGAAUGCCUACGGAGACUGAUUUGAGUAAUAAUAAAACUCCUGUCUCCUGCA